GAUGAAAGCUAGCUACAGGCCUAACACAUGCAAGUCGAGGGACCGGGACACGGGUGAGUAGCACGUAUCCAACCUGCACUUUACUCGGGGAGAGCAUUACGACAGAGAAAAUAUUGCACGAUGAAAAGGGUGGGGAUGCGUUCCAUUAGUUUGUUGGUGAGGUAACGGCGAACCAAGCAUUCGAUGGAUAGGGGUUAUGUGAGGCAGGGCCCACACAUCGGAACCGCGGCACGGUCCAAACUGCUACUGGAGGCAGCAGUGAGGAAUAUUGGGCAAUGGGCGUUAGCCUGACCCAGCCAAGUAGCGGAAAGGAUGAAGGCUUAUGGGUCGUAAAUUUCUUGUAUAUAAGAAUCUGUAUUAUAUGAAUAAGGAUCGGCUAACUCCGUGCCAGCCGCCGCGGUAAUUC
rnacentral:rRNA from 1 species